rnacentral:rRNA from 1 species
GACGAACGCUGGCGGCGUGCUUAACACAUGCAAGUCGAACGGAAAGGCCCUGCUUUUGUGGGGUGCUCGAGUGGCGAACGGGUGAGUAACACGUGAGUAACCUGCCCUUGACUUUGGGAUAACUUCAGGAAACCGGGGCUAAUACCGGAUAGGAGCUCCUGCUGCAUGGUGGGGGUUGGAAAGUUUCGGCGGUUGGGGAUGGACUCGCGGCUUAUCAGCUUGUUGGUGGGGUAGUGGCUUACCAAGGCAUUGGAGGGUGGGCGGCCUGGGAGGGUGACCGGCGUCAUUGGUACUGAGGUACGGCCCAGAGUCCUACGUUAGGCAACAGUGGGGAAUAUUGCACAAUGGGCGGAAGCCUGAUGCAGCAACGCCGCGUGCGGGAUGACGGCUUUCUGGGUGUAAACCGCUUUCACCUGUGACGAAGCGUGAGUGACGGUAAUGGGUAAAGAAGCACCGGCUAACUACGUG